rnacentral:lncRNA from 1 species
UUAAGGCUUGGUUGGUUUUGGGAUCUCUCCCUCUGACACCAAUUGAAACCCAAUAGUUCUUGUAAGGGUUUUGGUCUGUUUUUAACAACACUGAGUAGCUUUCCCCUGAAUAUAUAUCCAAAUCAUUAACAGCAAAUGGUUGCACAUGGUUCCCAUCAGCUUCCACCACCACCAUUUUGUGACCCUGCAAAAACAAAAAUUAAUGUUAUUUCCAUCCUUCAUUUUCUUUAAAAUUUCAAUCAUAUCAUGUUGGACAAAAGUAUUAUGGAGAUCCAAAUCCAAACUGGUUCUUCUAUUAAAAAUUUUAUUUGUUUUUAUGUUUAAAAAUUAGUCUUUGUACAUCAAUAUACGGUACACGUGGUAUAUCAUUUUUAAUAAUAUAAAAAUAUAAAAUUUUUACCAGAAAAAAUAAUUUACUUUUCAAUCUAAUGUAAAAAAAAUAAUUUAUCAUUUCUCAAUAAAAAUAAAAUAUUAGAAAAACAUUCAUAAUCUUUUAACUAGCAUGUCGUACAUAAUCAUAUAAAAUAACUCAAUUAUUGUGUAUAGGACAAAGGACAGUUUUGAGUAUGUAUCACAUGGUGAAAAUUUUGAUGUCCAUAAAGAAUGAAUGCAAUUUGUGAGACACAUGCAUUGGCUUGGUUCGCUAUUUCUACUAUUCAGUUUAUAUGGCAAAAGUAAAUCACACAACAGUGGGAUUCCUAUUAACAGAAAAACAGGUCCCUGCUAUUCGAAUUUUAUUGACGUUUUCCAACUUGCCAAACGCUAUAAAAUAGUGUGGGAACAUGGGGUGUCCUAAUCCUUCAAUGGGCUAAAUUCAAAUUAUUCUCAUAUUUUUAAUAAUUUCAAUUUUACCAAUUGAAUGGAUGUUAUUGUUAAUAGAAAAAAAUAUAAAUUGAAGUACACUAAAACGCAUAUUUAUAGAUGUUAAAAUAAUAAUAAUAAAAUAUUACUAACCAAUUUAGGGUGAGUUUGGAUGGGCGAUUGGAUGCGAUGCGUUUAGUUUACUUUUUAUCUCACGCUACAAUAUUUAAUAUCACUGCCACUACUAUUUUUACACUAACCGCAGAUAAACAUACCGUUAAUCCAAACUCACCAUUAAGCAUGCUAAAAUAGAGAGAUUAUAAAAUCCUUAUCCCAUGGAAAAAGUCAAUUUAGCCAAUAUUUUAUUUUCCUGCACCUAUGCCUUGUGUCGCCAUCCACCAAUAGUUUGAUGCCACUGAAACAUUAUUACGACAGUUGCACUAAAACAGAAUAGUCAGUAUCUUCUUCUUUUUUUAUUUUGACUUUUAAUUUAUUUUUGGUAUUUUUCACAUCAGAAAAAGGAGGUGUUGCAGAUCAGAUUCCCACUGUCCAAACACAUCAUGCAACCAGACAAUUCCAGCUCAGCUUUUUUCCAAGAAAUUUGAUACCAUAAUUAAAAUACCCAAUUUCUAAUUAAAAUUAUGGCAAAAGUGAGCAUAUAAAAAGAAAUAGGGAGAAUACCUCAAUGGCCAAGUUGAGUGAAGCUAAAGCAGUGGUGCUGGCAAUCCUGAGCCUGUAGGUUUUGUUUGGUCGGACUUUCAAGACUUGGGGUGCACAUUUUUCAUUUCCUUCGAACUUGCAUUGGCUAAUUGAUGAAUUACUAAAUUUGGCAGCCAAUGAGCAAUUGUAUUGCCCUCUUCCAUUAAUCAGCAGACU